GACGAACGCUGGCGGCGUGCCUAAUACAUGCAAGUCGAGCGGACGGAUGGGAGCUUGCUCCCAGACCGUCAGCGGCGGACGGGUGAGUAACACGUGGGCAACCUGCCUGUAAGACUGGGAUAACUCCGGGAAACCGGGGCUAAUACCGGAUAACUCUUUCCCUCACAUGAGGGAAAGCUGAAAGAUGGCAUCUCGCUAUCACUUACAGAUGGGCCCGCGGCGCAUUAGCUAGUUGGUGAGGUAACGGCUCACCAAGGCGACGAUGCGUAGCCGACCUGAGAGGGUGAUCGGCCACACUGGGACUGAGACACGGCCCAGACUCCUACGGGAGGCAGCAGUAGGGAAUCUUCCGCAAUGGACGAAAGUCUGACGGAGCAACGCCGCGUGAGUGAUGAAGGUGUUCGGAUCGUAGAACUCUGUUGUCAGGGAAGAACAAGUACCGGAGUAACUGCCGGUACCUUGACGGUACCUGACCAGAAAGCCACGGCUAACUACGUG
rnacentral:rRNA from 1 species